UGAAUUGAAUGAAAUGGUAGCCUAUUCUUUCUAUUAGUUAAAAAUAGAUGACAUAGUUAAAAAUAGAUGACAUUGCAGAUGAUUUGGCAUUAUUUAUUUAGUUGGUUAUAAAAAUAUAUUGCCAUGUUAUUUUUAAAAAACUAAUAAACUUGAGUUAAAUUACUAAAUAUUUAAAAGGAAAAGAAAAAGAAAAAGAAAACCCUAAGAUUAUAACUGGAUAAAAUUAUGAUUGAACUUUCUUAAUUUGUCUCUCGCAUCGUUUUUUUGGAUGCACCUUUAAUCUAACUUAUUUAAUCUCUCUAUCUAUUGCUUUUUCUAUAUCGAGACUGUCGUUAAUAUUGUUGGAGAUUCGGCUUUGAAAAAGAAGAGUAUAGCGAUUAAGGAAGAACAAAGACGUUACUGAGGCUGAACUCUUUAUCCUCCUGCAAUUAAAAAGAGAGAGAGAUCUUAACCAGCUCUUUUCUUACUCAAAUAAACCCUAAUGCCCCAAAUCAAACACAUACGCCAUUUUCCAUCUCUAAAAUCACGAGAGAGAGAGAGAGAGAGAGAGAGAGAGAGAGAGAGAGUUGCUUUGAUAGUAAAGAAUUGCUUCAAUUGAAAAAUAAAAUAAAAGAAGAAUCUGCGAUUGGUGAGAAAGAGGUAUAACAAAUGACAGAGGAGUGAGUGAAAAUGGAAGAACAAAGCAAACUUCUCAGGAAAUGGCUUUUACAGUGUUGAGGAGUAGUGGGGAGGUCUAUUGCAACCUCUUUUUUCUCCAUAAAUACAGUGCUUGAUGUUGGAGAGUGUUUCAAGUAUCCUUUCGGUUAUAGUUUUGCAUAUUUAUUUUAUAUAUAUACAUCAUUUGCGUUACUUCAACCUCCCUUUUUUCUUUUUAGUUUAAAUCAGAGGUACAACAGUGUCUAAGCCAACUUUAUACCCACCUCAGCUAAUCCACUUUCUUUGGCUGAUUUUCAGGUACAUUUUGCGCAUUUAGUUGUGCAUUCAGGAGUUGCACUCUGAGUGCUCGCCACAGGAAUCAAACUCGAGUUGAUAUUCAACUUUGCAAGUCAUGCUAAUCUAGUAUAAACAUUCAAAUGUAUUUGACCCCACAAUCUUGGACUGAGGAAUACAGGCAUAGAGAAAACACACUGUUUCUUCCGCCAUUUUCGCCUUUUGGAAAGCCUUUGUUUGAGGUGAUAUUAUUAGGCUAAAUUUGAGUAGCGAAAUCUUUGCGUAAGUUUCAUUAUCAAGAAGGUAAUGUUGGGCCCAGUUCUGUAGUUCAUGGUGCCGUUUCCAAGCUUGUUUUCUAACACAUUUACUGAUUUAUUAAAGGGCAUGCCCUGACAAUCAACUUGGGACCAACCCCGGAUAUCUAAUAUUCAGCCUAAAAGCUGAGCAGGGUUGUGGCUAUAUAUGAGCAAAACAAAUUUACGUUUCA